GAUGAACGCUGGCGGCGUGCCUAAUACAUGCAAGUCGAACGAACAUACGAGGAGCUUGCUCCGCUGACGUUAGCGGCGGACGGGUGAGUAACACGUGGAUAACCUACCUAUAAGACUGGGAUAACUUCGGGAAACCUGAGCUAAUACCGGAUGAUUUAUUGAACCGCAUGGUUCAAUAGUGAGAGACGGUUUUUCGUUCACUUAUAGAUGGACCCGAGCCGCAUUAGCUAGUUGGUAAGGUAACGGCUUACCAAGGCAACGAUGCGUAGCCGACCUGAGAGGGUGAUCGACUACCCUGGCACUGAGACACGGCCCAGACACCUACGGGAGGACGCAGCCGGGACUCUUCCGGAAUGGGGGAAAGCGUGACGGAGCAAAGCCGCGUGAGUGCUGACGGUCUUCGGAUCGUAAAACUCUGUUAGUCGGGAAGAAGAAAUGUGUAAGUAACUAUGACCGUAUUGACGGUACCUAAUCAGAAAGCCACGGCUAACUACGUG
rnacentral:rRNA from 1 species